rnacentral:rRNA from 1 species
UACGAAGGGGGCUAGCGUUGCUCGGAAUCACUGGGCGUAAAGCGCACGUAGGCGGCUUUUUAAGUCAGGGGUGAAAUCCUGGAGCUCAACUCCAGAACUGCCUUUGAUACUGGAGAGCUUGAGUCCGGAAGAGGUGAGUGGAACUCCGAGUGUAGAGGUGAAAUUCGUAGAUAUUCGGAAGAACACCAGUGGCGAAGGCGGCUCACUGGUCCGGUACUGACGCUGAGGCACGAAAGCGUGGGGGAGCAACA